rnacentral:rRNA from 1 species
UACAUGGGGUGCAAACGUUGCUCGGAAUUAUUGGGCGUAAAGAGCGUGUAGGCGGCUAGGUAGGUCCGUUGUGAAAACUCGAGGCUCAACCUCGAGACGCCGGUGGAAACCAUCUAGCUAGAGUCCGGAAGAGGAGAGUGGAAUUCCUGGUGUAGCGGUGAAAUGCGCAGAUAUCAGGAAGAACACCCGUGGCGAAGGCGGCUCUCUGGGACGUGACUGACGCUGAGACGCGAAAGCGUGGGGAGCGAACAGG